GACGGCCUUCGGGUUGUAAACUCCUUUUCCAGGGGAUGAUGAUGACCGUACCCUGGGAAUCAGGCUCGGCUAACUCUGUGCCAGCAGCCGCGGUAAGACAGAGGAGCCAAGCGUUGUCCGGAUUGACUGGGCGUAAAGCGCACGCAGGCGGUGGGGCACGUGGGGUGUGAAAGCGGCCCGCUUAACGGGGCGAGGCCAUCCCAUACGGCCCGACUCGAGAGUGGCAGAGGUUCGUGGAAUUGCCGGUGUAGUGGUGAAAUGCGUAGAGAUCGGCAGGAACACCAAGGGGGAAACCAGCGAACUGGGCCAUAUCUGACGCUCAGGUGCGAAAGCGUGGGGAGCGAACCGGAUUAGAUACCCGGGUAGUCCACGCCGUAAACGAUGAAUACUCGGCAUCUGGUGGCCGAUCUUCGGCGGCCGGGUGCCCCAGCUAACGCGGUAAGUAUUCCGCCUGGGAACUACGAGCGCAAGCUUAAAACUUAAAGGAAUUGACGG
rnacentral:rRNA from 1 species